UACGGAGGGAGCUAGCGUUGUUCGGAAUUACUGGGCGUAAAGCGCGCGUAGGCGGCUUUGUAAGUUAGAGGUGAAAGCCCGGGGCUCAACCCCGGAACUGCCUUUAAAACUGCAUCGCUUGAAUCCGGGAGAGGUGAGUGGAAUUCCGAGUGUAGAGGUGAAAUUCGUAGAUAUUCGGAAGAACACCAGUGGCGAAAGGCGGCUCACUGGACCGGCAUUGACGCUGAGGUGCGAAAGCGUGGGGAGCGAACAGG
rnacentral:rRNA from 1 species